rnacentral:rRNA from 1 species
CGGACGGGUGAGUAAUGUCUGGGAAACUGCCCGAUGGAGGGGGAUAACUACUGGAAACGGUAGCUAAUACCGCAUAACGUCUGCGGACCAAAGCGGGGGACCUCCGGGCCUCGCGCCAUCAGAUGAACCCAUAUGGGAUUAGCUAGUAGGUAAGGUAACGGCUUACCUAGACGACGAUCCCUAGCUGGUCUGAGAGGAUGAUCAGCCACACUGGGACUGAGACACGGCCCAG